rnacentral:rRNA from 1 species
CAGGGAUUGCCUUAGUAACGGCGAGUGAAGCGGCAAUAGCUCAAAUUUGAAAUCUGGCGCUUGCGUCCGAGUUGUAAUUUGCAGAGGAUGAUUUUGGUUAGGUACCUUCCGAGUUCCUUGGAACAGGACGCCUUAGAGGGUGAGAGCCCCGUACGGUUGGAUGCCGAGCCUUUGUAAAUCUCCUUCGACGAGUCGAGUAGUUUGGGAAUGCUGCUCUAAAUGGGAGGUAAAUUUCUUCUAAAGCUAAAUACCGGCCAGAGACCGAUAGCGCACAAGUAGAGUGAUCGAAAGAUGAAAAGCACUUUGAAAAGAGGGUUAAAUAGCACGUGAAAUUGUUGAAAGGGAAGGAUUUAUGACCAGACUUUUUCUAGGAGGAUCAUCCGGUGUUCUCACCGGUGCACUUCUUCUAGUCUAGGCCAGCAUCGACUUUCGGCGGUGGAUAAAAGCUUUGGGAAUGUGACUCCUUUCGGGGAGUGUUAUAGCCUAUUGUAUAAUACACUGCUGGGGGUCGAGGUACGCGCUUCUGCAAGGAUGCUGGCGUAAUGGUUAUCAAUCACCCGUCUUGAAACACGGACCAAGGAGUCGAACAUUUGUGCAAGUGUUUGGGUGUUAAACCCUCACGCGUAAUGAAAGUGAACGGAGGUGAGAGCCCUUACGGGUGCAUCAUCGACCGAUCCUGAUGUUUUCGGAUGGAUUUGAGUAAGAGCAUAACUGUUCGGACCCGAAAGAUGGUGAACUAUGCGUGGAUAGGGUGAAGCCAGAGGAAACUCUGGUGGAGGCUCGCAGCGGUUCUGACGUGCAAAUCGAUCGUCAAAUCUGCGCAUGGGG